UUGUGGAAUAAAUCUGCAAUAAAAAAGAAUAGAUUAAUUAUACAGGUUGUACAAGAAUCCACCAGUAACAUAAUUAUAGCACAUGAUCAUUGAGGUAAACAAAAGAAUGUGACCUAACAUGGGCGUACCGGAAGGAAAAAUUUAGGGGGGCGGAAAGAAAUUUGCCCGACUGUUCUGGAUUUUGCCCGACAAGUACCGAAAAAAUUUUCCCCGGAAAUUAGUUUGGCCACCUCCCCCCCCCCCCUUUGGUACAAGGGUACACUUUGGUCAGUGUACCAUUUUAGGGGUCAAAAAUUUUUUCCAGACAUACCAAAAUUUUUCGGAACUUAACAAAAUUUUUCCAAACAUCACGAAAUUGAUCACAAAAUCUAC
rnacentral:lncRNA from 1 species